GGAAGCCAGAACAGCUGGAGCUGAAGAAGGGAUUUAAGUUAGACUUUAGGAAGGACUUUCUGGGCAAUUGUACCCUAAAAUAGACAGGAGAGGCUGGGUAUGAGGAAAAGAAGGUGGCAGGUGGAUCAAAGUCAGGAGAAGGCCCACUCAUCAUGCUGCUUCCCCCUCCUUGAACUCUUCCCUGAUCCAGGCAUCUCCCCAGGCCCCGGAGGCUGCCUCCAACACAGGGAAUGCUGAGAGGGCAGAGGAGGUGCCUGGAGAAGGAAGCCUGUUCCUGCAGGCCGAGACCCGGGCUUGGUUCCAGAAGACCCAGGCCCACUGGCUCCUGCAGCACGGGGCAGCCCCUGCCUGGUUCCAUGGCUUCAUCACCCGGAGGGAGGCAGAGAGGCUGCUGGAGCCCAAGCCUCAGGGGUGCUACUUGGUGCGGUUCAGCGAGAGCGCGGUGACCUUCGUGCUGACUUACAGGAGCCGGACUUGCUGCCGCCACUUCCUGCUGGCCCAGCUCAGGGACGGGCGCCACGUGGUGCUGGGCGAGGACAGCGCCCACGCGCGGCUGCAGGACCUGCUGCUGCACUACACCGCGCACCCGCUCAGCCCCUACGGGGAGACGCUCACCGAGCCCCUCGCCCGACAGACUCCUGAGCCUGCAGGACUUUCCCUGAGGACCGAAGAAUCAAACUUUGGAAGCAAAAGCCAGGACCCAAACCCCCAGUACAGCCCAAUCAUCAAACAGGGGCAAGCCCCAGUCCCGAUGCAGAAAGAGGGGGCCGGGGAGAAGGAG
rnacentral:lncRNA from 10 species